AGGGGGUUAACCCCCGAACUUUUGUAGAAUUAACAUAUUCGAAAAAUCGGGUCGGCCAUUCGGAAAAUUACGGCAAUAAUAGUAUAUUUAAUUAAUUUACGAAAUCGCGGCAUUUACAUGGAUAACGUAAAACAAAUCGUAAAUCGGAAAAUGUCUUUCGGUUUAUUACUUCUCAGGGCCGUAGCAGUCGGGGGGAGGGGGGGGGACUGGGGGCAGCAGCCCUUACAAUAAUUUGCUGAUAAUCAUUCUUUUUUCAAAAUCAUGCACACCUUUAUCAUUUAAAUAAUAUACCGUUAAAAUACUGACAAUAGACUAGAGGUGUGCAUCGGAUCGGAUUGGACGUUUAUAAUCCGACAAUUGCCUAAUGUUUAAAAUCCGAUCUGAAAUUGUCUAAUC